CGGGAUGUAAACUUCGGAAGAACGGGAAGAAUAAGUAAGAGUUAAUAUCUCUUACGAUGACGGUACUGUUUGUAAGCUCCGGCUAACUCCGUGCCAGCAGCCGCGGUAAUACGGGGGGAGCAAGCGUUGUUCGGAUUUACUGGGCGUAAAGGGCGCGUAGGCGGCCACCGCAAGUCGACUGUGAAAUCUCCGGGCUUAACCCGGAAAGGUCAGCCGAUACUGCGGGGCUAGAGUGCAGAAGGGGCAACUGGAAUUCUCGGUGUAGCGGUGAAAUGCGUAGAUAUCGAGAGGAACACCUGCGGCGAAGGCGGGUUGCUGGGCUGACACUGACGCUGAGGCGCGAAAGCUAGGGGAGCGAACGGGAUUAGAUACCCCGGUAGUCCUAGCCUUAAACGAUGAAUGCUUGGUGUCUGGGGUUUUAUAGUCCCCGGGUGCCGUCGCUAACGCUUUAAGCAUUCCGCCUGGGGAGUACGGUCGCAAGACUG
rnacentral:rRNA from 1 species